GGCUCAGAUUGAACGCUGGCGGCAGGCUUAACACAUGCAAGUCGAGCGGAGCGAGGGUGCUUGCACCUUAGCUUAGCGGCGGACGGGUGAGUAAUGCUUAGGAAUCUGCCUAUUAGUGGGGGACAACAUUCCGAAAGGAAUGCUAAUACCGCAUACGCCCUACGGGGGAAAGCAGGGGAUCUUCGGACCUUGCGCUAAUAGAUGAGCCUAAGUCAGAUUAGCUAGUUGGUGGGUAAAGGCCUACCAAGGCGACGAUCUGUAGCGGGUCUGAGAGGAUGAUCCGCCACACUGGGACUGAGACACGGCCCAGACUCCUACGGGAGGCAGCAGUGGGGAAUAUUGGACAAUGGGCGCAAGCCUGAUCCAGCCAUGCCGCGUGUGUGAAGAAGGCCUUUUGGUUGUAAAGCACUUUAAGCGAGGAGGAGGCUACUUGGAUUAAUACUCUAGGAUAGUGGACGUUACUCGCAGAAUAAGCACCGGCUAACUCUGUG
rnacentral:rRNA from 1 species